CUAACGUUGACCCGUAAUCCGGGUUGCGGACAGUGUCUGGUGGGUAGUUUGACUGGGGCGGUCUCCUCCUAAAGAGUAACGGAGGAGCACGAAGGUUGGCUAAUCCUGGUCGGACAUCAGGAGGUUAGUGCAAUGGCAUAAGCCAGCUUGACUGCGAGCGUGACGGCGCGAGCAGGUGCGAAAGCAGGUCAUAGUGAUCCGGUGGUUCUGAAUGGAAGGGCCAUCGCUCAACGGAUAAAAGGUACUCCGGGGAUAACAGGCUGAUACCGCCCAAGAGUUCAUAUCGACGGCGGUGUUUGGCACCUCGAUGUCGGCUCAUCACAUCCUGGGGCUGAAGUAGGUCCCAAGGGUAUGGCUGUUCGCCAUUUAAAGUGGUACGCGAGCUGGGUUUAGAACGUCGUGAGACAGUUCGGUCCCUAUCUGCCGUGGGCGCUGGAGAACUGAGGGGGGCUGCUCCUAGUACGAGAGGACCGGAGUGGACGCAUCACUGGUGUUCGGGUUGUCAUGCCAAUGGCACUGCCCGGUAGCUAAAUGCGGAAGAGAUAAGUGCUGAAAGCAUCUAAGCACGAAACUUGCCCCGAGAUGAGUUCUCCCUGACUCCUUGAGAGUCCUGAAGGAACGUUGAAGACGACGACGUUGAUAGGCCGGGUGUGUAAGCGCAGCGAUGCGUUGAGCUAACCGGUACUAAUGAACCGUGAGGCUUAACCUUACAACGCCGAAGCUGUU
rnacentral:rRNA from 1 species